GGUACAAUUACAGAAAAUUAUUUCAUGUCGACUGUGAAUAACGCUGUCAGGAAGAAGGAGCUCUUUUGUUAGAUGGUAGAUUUUAAAAAACAAAACUGAUUGAAGUAGAAAAUGUUUCCUCCUAGGCAAACAGCCUCCAGAAUUAUAAUCAUGCCUUUUAGGUCCACUUGUUUUAAAAUUGCUUUUCAUUUUUCUUCUUUAUGCAGCCUCUGGGUUCUUAGUAGAGAGCGAAAUUUUAGUUUCUUUCUAGUCCAUACUUUGACCAGAAAAUGUGCCCUUAUGAAUGCAGACUUAGCCCAGCGUAUUGCUCAAAGAGAGGUCAGGGAGAAAGACAGUCUAGCUGAGAGGAUUUUGGCAAUUAGGGCAGAACAAUUUUUGUGGCAGGUUCUGAGACAAAUUUUUCCUGCUUUUCCUUCCUCCUUCCCUCCCUUCUGUGUUAAAACUUAGCAGCAUUAGCCUUAGUUUCCUUUUUAGAGAGCAUGGACAGCCUUCGGUCUGUGGGGGCUGUGGUGACUUGAGGUAGUGCUUGUAAAGCAAUGUUCACGGCCUGGUGUUUAACAGAUGGCUACUGUUACG
rnacentral:lncRNA from 1 species